rnacentral:rRNA from 1 species
CCCUGGUAGUCCACGCCGUAAACGAUGUCUACUUGGAGGUUGUGGCCUUGAGCCGUGGCUUUCGGAGCUAACGCGUUAAGUAGACCGCCUGGGGAGUACGGUCGCAAGAUUAAAACUCAAAUGAAUUGACGGGGGCCCGCACAAGCGGUGGAGCAUGUGGUUUAAUUCGAUGCAACGCGAAGAACCUUACCUACUCUUGACAUCCAGAGAAGCUUGAAGAGAUUCGAGUGUGCCUUCGGGAACUCUGAGACAGGUGCUGCAUGGCUGUCGUCAGCUCGUGUUGUGAAAUGUUGGGUUAAGUCCCGCAACGAGCGCAACCCUUAUCCUUGUUUGCCAGCACUUCGGGUGGGAACUCCAGGGAGACUGCCGGUGAUAAACCGGAGGAAGGUGGGGACGACGUCAAGUCAUCAUGGCCCUUACGAGUAGGGCUACACACGUGCUACAAUGGCAUAUACAGAGGGCAGCAAGACCGCGAGGUGGAGCGAAUCCCAGAAAGUAUGUCGUAGUCCGGAUCGGAGUCUGCAACUCGACUCCGUGAAGUCGGAAUCGCUAGUAAUCGUGGAUCAGAAUGCCACGGUGAAUACGUUCCCGGGC